UUAAAACUUUGCUCUUCACCUCGGCCUGGUUGUUUUACCGAAACUAUAUUUUGGAUUGAUGUGGAGUUUAGUGAAAAUUAUUUCUUUCAUGCUGUUUAUUUUUAUAGUUAGAAAAUGUGAGAUUUUUUUCAAUUCUGUUAUUUAUUUGGCAGAAAAUAUAUGAUGUAAAACUAUAAUUUAUAUAUAAAUAAUAAAUAAUCUAAUAAAUUAUAAAUUAUAAUAUAAAAAAUAAAAAUAAUAUAAUUAUGUUCCUACAUAAUUUUAAAAAAUUAAUCUAAAAUAACUAAAUUAUUUUUUUAUACAUAAGUCAUAAUAUUACAACAAUAAAAUUAUAAAGUAAGAAAAAAAUAAUAAUACUAACUAAUUAAUUUUUAUCAUAUUUUAAAUAUAUGAAACCAAAUGAAAAAAAUACUAGAACUUAACUAAUCAAUUUUUAUUAUAUUUUAAAUAUACAAACUAAAUAAAAGAGUAGUUAAUACUAUAAUUAAAUAUAUUUAAAUAUAACUAACGUUACACAUUAUAUUAUUUUAUUAUUUUUUUCUUCAUCUCUUUUUUGUUCUGAAUAACUCGAAUUUCAACCGUAUCUUUAUUACGAUAAAUCAAAUGACGAAAAUGAUCGUUUAAGAUCGAAAAUUAUUUUUUCUCUCUCCACCUUUACUCAAAUAAAUAGGUUGCAC
rnacentral:lncRNA from 1 species